rnacentral:pre_miRNA from 1 species
CCUCCUCCUAUCAAUCACAAUGUCCUUAAUGGCAUUUAAGGAUUGCUAUUAAGGACAUUUGUGAUUCACGGGAGGAGGU